rnacentral:rRNA from 1 species
GAUGAACGCUGGCGGCGUGCCUAACACAUGCAAGUCGAACGGAGUCCAGCCUUAGAGACCUUCGGGUCAAAGAGGGGAAGACUGAGUGGCGGACGGGUGAGUAACACGUGGGCAACCUGGCUCAUAGAGGGGGAUAACAGAGAGAAAUUUCUGCUAAUACCGCAUAAGCACACACUGCCGCAUGGCAGAGUGUGAAAAGAGAAUCGCUAUGAGAUGGACCCGCGUCUGAUUAGCCAGUUGGCAGGGUAAGAGCCUACCAAAGCGACGAUCAGUAGCCGAUUUGAGAGGAUGAACGGCCACAUUGGGACUGAGACACGGCCCAAACUCCUACGGGAGGCAGCAGUGGGGGAUAUUGCACAAUGGGGGGAACCCUGAUGCAGCGACGCCGCGUGAGUGAAGAAGUAUUUCGGUAUGUAAAGCUCUAUCAGCAGAGAAGAUAAUGACAGUACCUGAAUAAGAAGCCCCGGCUAACUACGUG